UAAUCGAGCCGAGCUCGAGCUCAUUCUUAGGUUUUUGGGUAAAUGAACCAUGCUCAAUACUUUAAAGCUCAGCUCGGCUCGAAAAAGAUCGGCUCAUAUUUACAGGCUCGACUUGUUUAUGGAGGCUUAAGAACAAAAUGAACCAAACCCCUCCUCUCUUUUUUUUCUUUUUUACACUCGUUUAGUAAACGAGCUAAAAGCUCGAACAUUACAAAGCUAAGCUCAGAUCGGCUCGGCUUGUAUGCACCCUUGUUGGGAUGUUUGGUCCCAAUUGUGAUGCUAUCAUGCUCACUAUCCUUUUGAUCUCUGUGUGUUCAUUCAAAGUUUAAUAAAAUCCCUCCUUUACUGAGGGAAAAAAAAAAAGUAGGGUAAAAAUGAACAUAAGAACCGAGAAAGAAGAGGAGAACAACAGCCACUUACGGAUGCAGGAAGUGUUCAAACAACCAUGACCGGAGCACACUCACGGCACGCUCAGG